rnacentral:lncRNA from 1 species
GAUAAUUUUGAGAAUCGCUAAACUAAGUCGACGCGAAAUGGGAUAGAAAGGGACAAAAGCGAAAAAAAAUAUCCGCGAAAAAAAAGUUGCUUUUAAUACAGUUUUUAAAUAAUAUUUAUUACCCAAGAUGUCAGUAUAUAGAUCGAGAGUGAAGAGAAAUAUACCGAUAAAUGAGAAUAUUAAGCCUAAUUUCUGAAACUUGUUUUGUGAUUCUUAUCUCUUUAUUUGUGAAUAUAUAAGGAGUUAUACAAUGAAGAUGUGGUAUGAUUGCCAAUGAGACAACUCUCCACAAUAGACCAAAAUGUGUGACAUGUAAAAAUUUAUCCUUCUCCAUAUAAAGCCAAAUUGUUUAAUCUGCUAAUCAAUCCCAACAAACAGUUUGUAGUAAUUUGACCCAAUCAUCCUCUUUUCAACAAGUCAAUUUAAUUCAAAUAUUGCAUACAGUCAAUAGAUAUCCAUACCAGUACGGGUCCAACUAUCUGGUAUGAAAAGUGAAUGUUUUCAAAUGUCUCUAUACCGUUUGUGUUUGUACUCCAUGAAACACAACAUUAACGUUAAAUCACAAGGGGAAUUCCAAUUUCUUUUUUUU